AACGAGGCCGACCUGCGGCUGAGUUACCUGCGGAAGGAUCAUUACAGAGUUCAUGCCCUCACGGGUAGAUCUCCCACCCUUGAAUACUAUACCUUUGUUGCUUUGGCGGGCCGCUUUGGCUACUGGCUCUGGCUAGUAAGUGCCCGCCAAAGAACCCCAAAACUCUGAAUAUUAGUGUCGUCUGAGUACUAUAUAAUAGUUAAAACUUUUAGCAAUGGAUCUCAGAUCGGAAGAGCACAC
rnacentral:misc_RNA from 1 species